rnacentral:tRNA from 1 species
UUGCGCGCGUCGGCCGCGGCCUUGGACGCCUGGCAGGCGUCCUUCUGCGCGUCCUGGGCGAUCUUCGCGGCGCGCGCGAU